rnacentral:lncRNA from 1 species
AGAGCUGAUUCAUCUGAAGAGAAACGUCACAGGAAACGGAAAAAACAUCAUAGAGGAUAUUUUCAACAAUACCAGCCAUAUCAACGAUAUCCACUAAAUUAUCCUCCUGCGUAUCCAUUUCCUUAAAAUGCUGCUUAGUAACUACAGGACAUGAUUAGAGAGAUUUUUCACAAUGAUUUUUCCUACUCUUUCUGUUGUGUUGAAAACCAUCUUUCAAAUGAAUAAAACAAAGAAAAAAAAAUCAGUCAAGUAGUUGCACAACACAUACUUGGAAUCAAAUAUCAAUAUUUUAAAACAUAAUAAUGACAGUCUCUGAACUAUGUAAUUGGUUUCUACUUUCUUUUCUCUGUCACUUACCAUGCAUGCUUAAUAAAUUGAUCUAUCAAGCAUA